GAUGAACGCUAGCGGCAGGCUUAAUACAUGCAAGUCGAGGGGCAGCAUGAUUGUAGCAAUACAAUUGAUGGCGACCGGCAAACGGGUGCGGAACACGUACACAACCUCCCAAUAAGUGGGGAAUAGCCCAGAGAAAUUUGGAUUAAUACCCCGUAACAUAACGAUGUGGCAUCACAUUGUUAUUAUAGAUUUUUCGCUUAUUGAUGGGUGUGCGGCUGAUUAGAUAGUUGGCGGGGUCACGGCCCACCAAGUCUACGAUCAGUAGCUGAUGUGCAAGCAUAAUCAGCCAACCGGGCACUGAGAAACGGGACCGACUCAUACGGGAGGCAGCAGUAAGGAAUAUUGGACAAUGGACGCAAGUCUGAUCCAGCCAUGGCGCGUGAAGGAUUAAGGUCCUCUGGAUUGUAAACUUCUUUUAUAAGGGACGAAAAAAGGCUUUUCUAAGUCGUCUGACGGUACCUUAUGAAUAAGCACCGGCUAACUCCGUGCCAGCCGCCGCCGUAACAC
rnacentral:rRNA from 1 species